ensembl:lncRNA
CUUUAUUGGUGUUUUGUCAUUGUGUUGUCUUGUGUGUCUUGUUCAUCAUGAGUGACUGCUCCAAUGUCGAGCAGCUCGUUAAGGAGCUUGAUGAGCUUGUUGAUCAUUCUAAAUUAAAUGAUGAACUCCAGACCUUGGAAGGUUUCAUCAAUAAGAUGGAGGUAGAACGGGAGGCAGCACUAUCCACCAGCCAUCAACCGGUCCAGGAGGCCCCACCAUCCACCAGCCAUCAACCAGUCAUGUGGCUGAAGAGGGACAGUGAUGGAAAUGUUGUCUAUGACAGACCAAGAUCAUGCCGAAACCAAAUGGCUAGUCACAGCUACAGUCGCAAGACUGGUGCUCGUACUACAAUGUUGGAAAGCAGCGUUGAGAGAACCAACUACUGUCCUCCUGACACUGUUGAGUCUUUCCUUGAAGAGCUAAACUACUCACAGGAUGAUGACAUGGAUGAUCAGGAAACAGCACCAGCACCACCACGAGCUUCCUUAGACUGGUCUACUCGAAGGAGUCUCCUCUCAGAGAGGUGGGCGAAAGAGAGACCCCGGCUGUUUACACAGAAACCAGGUGUUCCACAACAGGGAUGCAACAAUAGCUGGAUUCUUUCAGCCAUUGCCUCCAACAACCUGUGUCGUGGACAGGGUUCUUUCCCAGUGUGUGUGUAUUUUGCCGUUGGAGAUGCCCGAGAAAAUUUGUACUUGUUCUCCGGGAACGUUGAGUGUCAACCCAGGAAAAGUUGUUGCUGUGGUUACAAUAAAUGGACGAUAUGAUCUCUCUAUGCCUGAGAUGAAAUGCGAGGCAUGCAAAGCCACUUGGAGUGCUGGAGUCGAUGACUUGGUCCGUAAUGACUACUGGCCUGCGACCCUUCACUUCUCCACGGUGUACUCUACCGAUGUGUUGCAUUCAUACGAAGAGUUGAAGAUGGCAGCACCAGGACUUUCCUGUCAAGCCUUUUUGCGAAUGCUUGAUCAACGAACUGUCCGCUUCGGCCGUACUGGGAAGAUCACAGCAGACAGCUUCAGAAAAAGCUUUUUGGAGUGGGAGGCUGUUAGAUUUGAGGUCGACAAGAUAUGCAGGGAGGAGCCUUUUGUCUGUCCUGCAUGCACCCCAGACAUGCUUGCCGUUUCAGUGGACGGAAAUCGCAAGCACUACCGCUUUAAGAAUGCAGCAAGAUCUGAGGAGCAAGCCUUGUUUGAUGGCAUCUUCAUUGCUAAAGAUGAUGAAGUAGAGAGAUUUGUGGAUUACAUUCAUUCUACCACCAACCAUGUCUCUGGAAGAGGUGUCUGUGGAGGGGAGUGGUCAGCAGCCAGAGAAACAUCUCAGAGAUCCAGGAGUAAAAUUGAUGAGGAGGGACUUGAGCUUGCGGUGUGUCGACAUGGAGUUUUUCUCAGCGCUCUCAACAUGUUCAGGGGAGAAAUCUACGCGUAUCCCCUCUACCUGCAGAACAAGCUGGCAAAUAAGCCAAUAACCUUUUUUGCCAUGGAUGUUACAUGCAAGUACUGGCCCUACCUCAACAAAGUGGCAAAAAGCUGCCCGGAGCUCCAGCACCUUCUUGACAUGAAGCCAUUCCUGUCAGUGUUUCAUGCUAAAGCCCAUGACUUUAAAUGCGAGGUUAAAUGGAGUGGAGCUUACCAGCAAGGGGCUGGAUUGACACUUGGGGAGGAGGUUGAGCAGUGCAACGCCUUCCUCUCUAGGAUUGCUGUUACGACAAAACAUAUGUCCAAAGCAGGUCGUACAGACAUGCUUACACUGAUGGCCAUGCGCUGGAAUCAGCAGAAGUUUAAUAACUUGGACACUUCACUUGCCCGCCGAUAUCAGAAGGCCACAAAAGGCCUGGAAAGCCGGCUUCAGGACCUGGAGGUCAUGAGAGUCCAACUGGCAGUGACACAGGUUGAAGUUGAGGGCUGGGUCACUGACGUAAAAGAGUGGGCAGAAG